rnacentral:piRNA from 1 species
UGGGAUCUAUAUGCUUUGGGAGCUCGAU